rnacentral:rRNA from 1 species
AGCGAACGCUGGCGGCAGGCUUAACACAUGCAAGUCGAGCGGGCAUCUUCGGAUGUCAGCGGCAGACGGGUGAGUAACACGUGGGAACGUACCCUUCGGUUCGGAACAACUCUGGGAAACUGGAGCUAAUACCGGAUACGCCCUUAUGGGGAAAGGUUUACUGCCGAAGGAUCGGCCCGCGUCUGAUUAGCUAGUUGGUGGGGUAACGGCCUACCAAGGCGACGAUCAGUAGCUGGUCUGAGAGGAUGAUCAGCCACACUGGGACUGAGACACGGCCCAGACUCCUACGGGAGGGAGCAGUGGGGAAUAUUGGAAAAUGGGCGCAAGCCUGAUCCAGCCAUGCCGGGUGAGUGAUGAAGGCCUUAGGGUUGUAAAGCUCUUUUGUCCGGGACGAUAAUGACGGUACCGGAAGAAUAAGCCACGGCUAACUUCGUG